ensembl:snRNA U6 U6 spliceosomal RNA
AUGCUGGCUUCGGCAGCUCAUAUACUAAAAAUUGGAAUGAUACGGAGAAGAUUAGCAUGGCUCCUGCACAAGAAUGACACACAAAUUCAUGAAGUGUUCCAUAUUAAA